AGCUAUGAUAUUGAAAACCCAUGACAGGAAGGACCUGCCCAUAAGAUGACAUCCACAUAUUGCCUGAUGUUACAGAACAUUUGCCAGACUGGCCAAGGACAACAGCUACGGACACUACUGUUACUCACCAUGAUGGCCGUGCUCACAGGGCUGUUGUACCUUGGUUUUAUUGUGGAACACAGGAUGGCAGGACAGGCAGGGUUCCUGGGAGGCCCAGGAGCAUCGUCUGUAUAAAGAGGAAAAUGGAUAUCCUUGGGACACUCAAUUCCCUCUGGAAAAAAUGAAUAAGGCCAAGUUCAACAUUCAACACACGACAACCGACUACGCAGGCAUCUAUAAGUGUUAUUAUAGGACCUCUGUUGCACGUUCAGAGCACAGUGAUGCCCUGCAGCUGGUGGUGACAGGGGAGUGGACGCUCUGGGAACCAUGUAUGUGCUUUCUCCUGAGAAGGAGGUCUGUUCUCCGGGAGCUCUUCUCUCAGAGUCCAGUCCUAGAAGGCAAUAUGAGUAACUCUUGUUCAUUUCACAUCCUGCCCCUUGUAUCCUAGGAGUACAUGAAAAGCCCAGCCUGUCAGUCUGGCCGAGCACUAACGUGACUUCUGGAGUGUCCAUAGCCUUUACCUGUAGCUCAUACAUGGGAUUUGGCAGAUUCAUUCUGAUUCAGGAAGGAAAACACCACCUCUC